AGUGAACGCUGGCGGUAGGCCUAACACAUGCAAGUCGAACGGCAGCACAGUAAGAGCUUGCUCUUACGGGUGGCGAGUGGCGGACGGGUGAGGAAUACAUCGGAAUCUACUUUUUCGUGGGGGAUAACGUAGGGAAACUUACGCUAAUACCGCAUACGACCUACGGGUGAAAGCAGGGGAUCUUCGGACCUUGCUCUAUUGAAUGAGCCGAUGUCGGAUUAGCUAGUUGGCGGGGUAAAGGCCCACCAAGGCGACGAUCCGUAGCUGGUCUGAGAGGAUGAUCAGCCACACUGGAACUGAGACACGGUCCAGACUCCUACGGGAGGCAGCAGUGGGGAAUAUUGGACAAUGGGCGCAAGCCUGAUCCAGCCAUACCGCGUGGGUGAAGAAGGCCUUCGGGUUGUAAAGCCCUUUUGUUGGGAAAGAAAAGCAGCAGGUUAAUACCCCGCUGUUCUGACGGUACCCAAAGAAUAAGCACCGGCUAACUUCGUG
rnacentral:rRNA from 1 species